rnacentral:rRNA from 1 species
CCCUUAGACGUUCUGGGCCGCACGCGCGCUACACUGACCAGUGCAACAAGCAUCCGUCCUUGGCCGACAGGCUCGGGCAAUCUUUGAACGCUGGUCGUGAUGGGGAUAGACUUUUGCAAUUUUUGGUCUUCAACGAGGAAUUCCUAGUAAACGCAAGUCAUCAACUUGCAUUGAUUACGUCCCUGCCCUUUGUACACACCGCCCGUCGCACCUACCGAUUGAAUGGUCCGGUGAAGCCUCCGGAUUGGCGCGCACCUCGGUGCCGCCGAGAUGUUGGCUAAACCUUACCAUUUAGAGGAAGGUGAAGUCGUAACA